GGUGGAGGCACCAAACUCAUCGUUGACUUGGGAGUGGUGCAGCCCACGCUGAGCGUCCUCCCUCCCUCCAGAGUGGAGCUGGAGCAGGGCAGUGCUACACUAGUGUGUGUGGCCAGUGGGGGCUUCCCCUCAGACUGGAAGCUUGGCUGGAAGGUGGGGGGCAGCAGCAGGUCUGGGGGGGUGUCAGAUAGCCUGGGGGUCCAGGGGAAAGAUGGCCACUACAGCUGGAGCAGCACCUUGACCCUCCCUGCAGACCAGUGGAGGAAGGCGGGCUCAGUGAGCUGUGAGGCCAGUAAGAAUGGCCAGACGCAGCCUGUCACUCAAACCCUGAAUCCUGGAGAGUGUUCAGAGUAG